rnacentral:sRNA from 1 species
AUGUGGCACCCGCCGGGGGGAUGAGAACCCCCGACCGGGGUUCGACAACUGGCAACGCCAGUUGGACAGACCGCGAGCCUGCGAGCGGGCUGCCCCGCAGGGGCGAGCGAAGCGAGUCAAUCCCCCCCUCACCGCCA